GUACAGAGGAGAGAAAAGGAGAAAAAAAGCCCAGCGCCCCGCACGAUCCUGCCUCCUCGAUCUCAUCUCCACCUCCAUCCCGCCGCCACCUCCUGCCCCGCGCCGCCUCGACCAGGACCGCGCCCCUCCACAAACGACGGCGAUGAUGGAGCGCGGCGCCCAGCACCUGGCCGACAGAUUCGCCGGCUCCCCGCUCCUCGGGGCCAGCCCCUCCCCCGUGCCGGGUCGAGCAUCGGCUUGGAGGCCAACACACCAGCACGGGUUCGCUCGAUCCGUCCGGGUAGGGCGCCGCCGGCGGUCUUCUUCUCCGGCCAUCCGUCGUCGGCGGCCGUUCUUCCUGCUCCCGUGCCUCUGAUUUGGAUCGAGGUCGCGGUGGUAGUGGUUCGGCGGCGAUGGCGGCGUUGGAAGCAGCGGCGGCGGGUGGUGGGGUCCGGCAGCGGGUGCAGGGGCUAUGUCGCGGUGAUGGGGAGCUGCAGAUCUGUGUCCAUGGUCGGACCACCGCGGACAGGGGUUUCUUCCCGGAUUGUUGAUGAAUAUACUUGGGGAUUCAUGAUUCUUGCAUCCCAUGAUGUGGAGAUUCGUUGGGAUUUUGGGCGAGGGAGAUGGGGUGUGAUUUGGGGGGAUCACGCCUCGGAUUCUUGGGGUCACCGGGGAUGCGGUGAUUGAAGGAGAAGACGGUGGAGGGAGAGAGGGAGGAAGGGAGGAGGAGGGGGAGGCUGCGAUGGGACACGUUGGGGAUGCCCACUGGACGUUGGUGUCCUUCUGAACACAAAUUCAUGGAGUGCCCAACCCGGAUUUCAAAGGGACUUGGCUGGUUCGAUACUACCAAUUCCUUGGGUGCUGAUUUUGAGGGGGGCUUCUAGAUUGAGAUCGAGUGAGAGGGGGUUGACAAGGAGAGAGCAGUCAGGUGGCGGUGGCGGCGGUGACUUGGAGCACAGUCCAGCGACGACGACCGUUCGGGAGCAGGAGCGCGACGGCGGCUGUUCGGGAAUAGGAGUGAGAUAGCGGCUGGGCAUCGCGGGGUUCAGUUGUUGGAGAGGAUAAGGGGGACGGCAGCUGCACUCGGCACCAUGGGACACCCAACGUGGUUGGAGAGGAUAAGGUUGAUGGCUGAUUUCUUUGUUCGCCUUUGUUGUGGUCAAUGGUUUCACAUCCUUCUUAAUCCCUUGCCAUGAGGCAAUAAAUCGCAAAAGAGCAGACACCACCCUAUGCUCCACCUUCCAUGUACAUGUAUUCUUCUUCGGACCCUGAACCGAAGGCUUCUUCCGGUCCUUAUCAAGGUACGGCUGAUAGGUGGUUUCACCGCGGAGCUCCCUCGCCGUCAGUACAGCGAUGCUUGAUCGAUCGUGCCGCAGCUCAUCACCUUGCAUCGCCCUCCCACCACUGCUUCUCUCUGAUCUUGGUCAGAUGUUCUGGUUGAUGUGCAAGGAGAUGAGAGGGCAAGCUAGGGGAAUGGAAUUAGAGAGACGAUUGUAGAGCGGCAUCGUUGUUGUCCCUGUUGCUUUAUUCUUUUCUUACUCAAGUGGUUACUUUACCUUCAUCAGUCCAUCUUCACACUUUUGAUUGUCUCAGCUUAGCUUGCAGUUCCAGCUUAGAUUUGUCAGUUUUAUGGGUUAGCCAGAUUGUUCAAAUAUUUGUUGUCCAAUUUAUUUAUAAUCUAACUGUGCAAAUGUUUGGUUGAUUCACAAUUUUCUCAUCCUUUCACCGCUUGUGUUUAUCAGGUCUGGAGAUAUGAACCAAUCACCCAGAUACCUUUACUAGGCUGAUGCAUAUGGAGCUUGCAAUCAGAUCCAAAAUAUGGAGCUGUCUAACAAAAGCAGAUGACAUGUAUGCAAUGUGUGGUCUGCACUGAUGAGACGUUGGAGGGGCAAGUACUGCACUUGGUUCAGUGCAUAUACAAGAUGGGCACCAUUAUUGAUGGCAAGUCAAUUGCAGAGGACAUGAAGUUACUGAUUGCUGAACAAUUUCGUCGAAUGAAAAAGGCAGUUGCACAUGUUCCUGGAUUAGCUAUUGUAUUGGUAGGCGAUAGAAGGGACUCUCAAUCCCAUGUGGGAUUUAAACUGAAGGGUUGUGAGGAAGAUGGGAUAAAAUCUUUGUUGUCGGAGUUGCCUUAGAACUGCACAAAAGACGAGGUGGUGGAUUCAGCAUCAAGAUUAAGUGGAGAUCUAUCUGUUCAUCGCAUCCUUGUGCCGCUACCACUACCACAAGAAGGGAAGGUGACGGCCGAACUGCUAUGCAUCCAAGCACACUCAGCCCUUCAUUGCCUUUGGGAUUGGAGGCAAUGGCAGAUCAUAUCAAAAGCUACCCGUGCAAGGAGAUUAGAAAAACCACUGAUGGAAUGGCCGGGGAGGCUCGCCGCGAUAAGAGGACUUGUGAAUUGUGCAGAUAUUCACUAGAGGCUGAAUUGGCUGCAAUCCACGAAGGUGUUAUCUUGCCUCUCAACUGGACUGAACUCAACCUUGUGGUGGAGACUGACUGUGCUGAAGCCAAGUAAUUGAUUUCGCCGUCCGAACAAGAUUAUUCACCUCACACGCACAAUGUUAUUGAGAUCAGGUCGCUGUUAUCUCAAGAAAGGAGAAUUCAUACAGUUAAGAUCAAGCGUAAUUAAAAUUUAGCUAGGCAUACUCUUUCUGAAAUGGGACGCGUGAUGAAUGAAAUUCCCUUUCCUGAAAAAAAAAACACAACUCUUAGGAAGGGAUUGCUCU